CAGGAGGAACACAGGAGUCAGAGGAGUCAGCCCCUAGGACAGUGUUUAUCACUUCUAGUUUUUAAACUUUCCUUUCCAAAGGAAGAUAUUAGAGUCCAGGACCAAGAUUCCACUGUUACAGCUGCAGGGGACUUCCAAACAAGGAAACUGAAGUUCUGAGCAGCAGUUUCACAGCCUGUGAUCGUCCCCACCCCUGCACUUAGGAAACAGGCAGCAAGUUCCAUUUUCCAGUGUGAGGCCCUCUCAGCCCAACUGCCAGGGAAGAGACUGAGGCGGCUACCCAUGGCGGAUGCUUCUUCAUUGCUGUGAAUUCAGAGAAUAUUCAAGUGCAGCUGUCAUUUCGACAUCAUUCACUGAUAUUUCCAUAUGGUUGGACACAAGGCUCGUAGUGGGUUUGAGAGUUUAUUAUUUUUAAUGAAUCUCUUACUGUUUUUCAUAGCAACAGUAUUAAUUCAGCUUUUAAACAAGAACAUGCUUGGAUUUCUUUUUAUCCACAUCCUCUCAUAAUAAACCUUCUGACAGGUGUAGGGAAAUGUUUCAUUGUGGUUUUAAUUUGCAUUUCCUUGAUCCCAGGGAAUGUUAAGUAUUUUCAUGUGGUCAGUCACGUGGUUUUCAUAUGUCUGGUCUUUGUAUAUCUUCUUUAAAAACUGUCCAUUUAACUUGUUUUGAAGUCCUGUAAUACUCCCACGAUCUGGUUUUGACUGAUUAGAAUCUGUUCCAUUCUGUAUGAUAGUAUCAAGUUUGAGGGUAUAGGCAACUACUUUGAAGGCAAUAAGAUUCACUAAGACGCCCAUGCUGGUUUGACUAUUGUCUCCUUUGGACGUCCUGUAAUGUUUACAAUGCCUAAGUUUUAUUGGUAUUGUUCUCUACUGUUUUGUUCAACUUUAUAAUAUCUAAUGAGAUAGACAAUUCUUUUUAAGGGAACAAGAGACAUCGUUGAUAACCAUUGUUGAUAACCUUGUACUCUGUUUUACAUCAUGUGCUAUGUCUAUCCUUGGUUUUGACUGACAGCUUUGUUUUGCCAUAUUUGACUUUAUUCUCUCCCCCCAAAAAGUAAUAAGAACUAAGGAGUAAUAAAACCCAAAAUGUGUAAAUUUUGUUGUAAAAAAGAGAGGGAAAAAAAGAGCUCUAAAGGAUACAACAGCAAGUGUGUUUAGGGGUGUUAAAUAGCUGACCAUAUUAAUGUUUUUGGUUGGAUCAUUGAACACAACUGUUUGCAGUCUCACUGUUUGAAUGUCCACUUUGUAUUCUUUGAUACUGUGAUUUGAGCAACUAUUUCUAAGAUGAUAAUAUGUAAUCUAUUAACUGGUGAUUUCUUACUGUCUUUUUUUUUUUUUUUUUUUUUUUUUUUUGUAGUUCUGUAUUACUUGUACCCUUACACUGCUUUGUUUUGUUCUGUGUUUUUCUCUUUUUCCUUUUAAAUAAAAUUUUAAAAAAAAAUGUCCAUUUGAGACAUUUGUCCA